CGGAAUCAGUUUCAUACUUGUAAAAGUUUUCUACUAAAAAAAGAUGAACUAGUACAUGAGAACAAGCUAUGUAUUGCUACACUAGACCAAAAUCAUCUGCCAAGGAAACUCAAACAGUUCAGUUAUUCAGUCCAAUUACACAAUUCAGGGUUUAUGUAAAUAAAAAUUAAAUUAAACUAUAUUAACCCAUUACAUAUCAUUUAAGAUCUAUUUGACUGUUAACCAUAGCAGUCCAAACAGGCAUAAUUCAAGAAGCAGAUGCAUGAGCAUUUUCAUUUCAUUUCCAUCUCAAAGCUAUACCAAGUUCAAAUGUGCACCUGGAAUUUUAACACAAUAAGAAGAGGAGAAGUCAACGGCAAUAGUGAGGAGUUUGCAGUGUUAAACAACAGGAAGGCAACAACAGUUUCGACUUGGAAUCCCAGCAAUAAAAACCAGUAAACAGACACAAAAUUGACUCGAACAGAUCAAUUUCAACUUGAAAUCAACCCAGGAGACUUUAAUCUCAAUUACUGAACAGAAUUCAAUGUAACAGUCUAAUUUUUUUUAGGUUUUCUGUUGUUUUUCUUUUGGUUUUGAAGAACUAGAUCUAGAAUAGAUUUCCUAACUCUGAAAUUUCAGUUGUAGCUUUUUAAUGUGAAACUCAAAUUUUCAGAUCGUGAAACUUUUUCCCCAAAA
rnacentral:lncRNA from 1 species